rnacentral:rRNA from 1 species
GACGAACGCUGGCGGCGUGCUUAACACAUGCAAGUCGAACGGAAAGGCCCUGCUUUUGUGGGGUGCUCAAGUGGCGAACGGGUGAGUAACACGUGAGUAACCUGCCCUUGACUUUGGGAUAACUUCAGGAAACUGGGGCUAAUACCGGAUAGGAGCUCCUGCUGCAUGGUGGGGGUUGGAAAGUUUCGGCGGUUGGGGAUGGACUCGCGGCUUAUCAGCUUGUUGGUGGGGUAGUGGCUUACCAAGGCUUUGACGGGUAGCCGGCCUGAGAGGGUGACCGGCCACAUUGGGACUGAGAUACGGCCCAGACUCCUACGGGAGGCAGCAGUGGGGAAUAUUGCACAAUGGGCGGAAGCCUGAUGCAGCAACGCCGCGUGCGGGAUGACGGCCUUCGGGUUGUAAGCCGCUUUCGCCUGUGACGAAGCGUGAGUGACGGUAAUGGGUAAAGAAGCACCGGCUAACUACGUG